UAAACUUUUUUUAAACGACACACACGUUCCGACACAGUGAUCUGGGUGCCUAAAGGCUAGUUUUUAGCUUGGUUGGUUGAUUUACUGGGGUACGUGGAGGCUUAAC
rnacentral:sRNA from 1 species